rnacentral:rRNA from 1 species
CCUACGGGGGGCUGCAGUGGGGAAUAUUGCGCAAUGGGGGAAACCCUGACGCAGCAAUACCGCGUGAAUGAAGAAGGUCUUCGGAUCGUAAAGUUCUGUUAUUGGGGAAGAACAAAGACGGUACCCAAGGAGAAAGUCCCGGCUAACUACGUGCCAGCAGCCGCGGUAAUACGUAGGGGACAAGCGUUGUCCGGAUUUACUGGGCGUAAAGGGCACGCAGGCGGUUUUUUAAGUCAGAUGUGAAAGGUCCCGGCUCAACCGGGGAACGGCAUUUGAAACUGGAGAACUUGAGUAUUGGAGAGGCAAGUGGAAUUCCUAGUGUAGCGGUGAAAUGCGUAGAGAUUAGGAGGAACACCAGUGGCGAAGGCGGCUUGCUGGACAAAUACUGACGCUGAGGUGCGAAAGCGUGGGGAGCAAACAGGAUUAGAUACCCCUGUAGUC